UAAAAAGCUGAACUACAAGGGUCUCUGUCACCUUUCUUCUCUCACACUUCUUCACUGCCACAACCUUCAAUGUUUACCGGUGGAGGGUCUACCCAAAUCCAUCUCUUCUCUCGCAAUUCGGGGUUGCCCAUUGCUCCAACUGCGUUGUCAGAAGCCAAAAGGCCAAGACUGGGUAAAGAUUGCUCAUAUUGAAGAAUUGAUUAUUGGAUAAUAAGAUGAAGUAGAAGAAAGUUAGAUGUGUAUAAUUCCCAAUAGUCUGUCUCUUCAAGAGCUUGUUGUCAUGGCAGUUGACAUUGUGAAGCUUUAGCAUCGCCAUUUAAUUGGAAAAAUCUGAACAUGCAGCUCUACAAAGUUUGUAUGCUGAUGGAUCCGCUCAUUCUUUUUGUUGGGUUUUGAUUUUUAAGUUAAUGAUUUAAAUGGAAGCAGAAGAGCCCUGUGCUAAUAUCGCUUUCUUGUUUACAUUAUCCGUGUUUAUGCCUGGAGGUAGUAGAAAACAGCCUCUUCAGCUGGCCCUGGAUUCUCAGCAUGACACUGAACAAUGGACUUUUCCAUGAGCAGAAACGAAACUGGAUGAAAUUUAAGGUAAAAGAUUGCAAGUUGUGUAUAUGAGACGUGAAUAAAAGAAUUCAAGAGCACCAUCCAAUGGAAUUUUACCUGUGACGAUGUGCGAUCCAAUGACAAUUUUACCUAUAACGAUAUGUAGGAAAUUUUUGCUAAGUUAUGAAGUGUAUUAAUGUGUUCGGCCAGCCAUGAAAAUUUUACCCAUGACAAUGUACAGUAGCUUUGGCUAAGUUACGAAGCAUAUUUACGUGUUCGGGAAGAAGGGAUAGGUACUGGUAAGCGGUACUACGCUCCUCCUCCUGUAAAGUCUCUAGAUAUAGUGCUAAUAGUGCCCCUCAAGAGAGGCUUGUUGCCUGCAAGUCUAUCUUUUCGUCUCCUUCUCUGUCGGUAAUGUGUGAAUAAAAUGUAAUUGCAUUCAGAUCUUAGUAUAGGCCAUUUGCAUUGUAUUAAUUGAAUGAUUUUAUCAUGCAUUAUCUUUUUUUCUU